GUGCUCGCUUUGGCAGCACAUAUACUAAAAUUGGAAUGAUACAGAGAUUAGCAUGGCCCCUGUGCAAGAAGGACAUGCAAAUUUGUGAAGUGUUCCAUAAAACA
rnacentral:snRNA from 1 species